rnacentral:rRNA from 1 species
CACGUAGGGUGCGAGCGUUGUCCGGAAUUAUUGGGCGUAAAGAGCUCGUAGGCGGUGUGUCGCGUCGGCCGUGAAAACCUGCAGCUUAACUGUGGGCUUGCGGUCGAUACGGGCAUCACUGGAGUUCGGCAGGGGAGACUGGAAUUCCUGGUGUAGCGGUGAAAUGCGCAGAUAUCAGGAGGAACACCGGGGGCGAAGGCGGGGCUCUGGGCCGAUACUGACGCUGAGGAGCGAAAGCGUGGGGAGCAAACAGG